CAUACCCAGCUCCCUAAGCCACACUUGAAAGGGCAUGGUUUCAAGAGCUUUUACCAUUUUGGUCAUCUCCUCAGGAAACAUGCCAGCCUGUCAAUAUUCUUCUUGAAUUGUGAUGCCCAUAACUGGACACAGGAUUCCAGUUCUUAUUGGAACACACUGCUCUCACAGAGCUAGCCAUGGUGCUGGAAAAACUGGUCCACUUUGCUGCCUUGCCUCAUCAUGUAUCUCAGGUUCUUUGUUGAGACCAGAACUGGACAUCUUGAUCUCACCUAUUCACAUGCAAUGGAUCCUCCAGACACAGAGAGCUUACUUGGAAGCUGAUAGUUUCUGUGGUGCUCCUAAAUAUGCUACCAAUAUUUGUAACACAUGAACAAGACAAGUCCUUUAAAGGAGUUUAUAGCCAGUCCCAAAUAUGUCAUCCAUGAUAACCAAAUUAAAAGACUGU